AGAGUUGUGUCCGUUAAAAGUGUGGUCGUUGACUUUUUUUUCUACUUGUACAGGGUGAUUAAUUUUCUUCAGUGUUUGUCACAUAUUUGCUAAAGCGUGGAGGAGAAAAAUCGCGAUGCAGAGUGUGUGAAUGAAUAUGGUUUACAUUUAGGUUUAUAUGAGUGUAAUUUGUAUAGUAAAUAUAGCUAAAAAUUUGGAGAUGCAGCACAUGGUUCAAAAUCCAUGAAUGAAAAUAUAUCUGGGAGGUUUCCAGAAGCCCUGAGAAGAGGAGACCGCGGGCGGGUCUCCAAAGCCAUAAAGGGCAACCAACGGAAGGCCGGUCCAUAUCUGUACAGAGGAGGGAGAAGAAAAGGAGGAG
rnacentral:misc_RNA from 1 species